rnacentral:rRNA from 1 species
GAUGAACGCUGGCGGCGUGCCUAAUACAUGCAAGUCGAGCGAACAGACGAGGAGCUUGCUCCUCUGACGUUAGCGGCGGACGGGUGAGUAACACGUGGAUAACCUACCUAUAAGACUGGGAUAACUUCGGGAAACCGGAGCUAAUACCGGAUAAUAUAUUGAACCGCAUGGUUCAAUAGUGAAAGACGGUUUUGCGGUCACUUAUAGAUGGAUCCGCGCCGCAUUAGCUAGUUGGUAAGGUAACGGAUUACCAAGGCAACGAUGCGUAGCCGACCUGAGAGGGUGGUUCGCCAGAUGGGAACUGAGACAGGGUCCAGACUCCUGCGGGGGGAAGCAGUCGGGAAUCUUCCGCAAGGGGCGAAAGCCUGACGGAGCAACGCCGCGGGAGGGAUGAAGGUCUUCGGAUCGGAAAACUCUGUUAUUAGGGAGGAACAAAUGUGUAAGUAACUAUGCACGUCUUGACGGUACCUGAUCAGAAAGCCACGGCUAACUACGUG